rnacentral:rRNA from 1 species
AUGGGCGAUGUCCGGAUCAUGUCCAGGCGCAUGGUCCGCCCGAAAUCAAGCACCUUCCGGUCGCCGGAGCGCCAGCCGGGGACCAUCCACCUAACGCCGUGGGAUCUCCGGAUGCUGAUCGUGGACUACAACCAGAAGGGCGUCCUCCUGCCCAAGCCCCCCGCCGCCGUCGCCCAAGGAGUCGUGGACCGCCUCGCCUCGUCCUUGGCGCGCGCCCUGGGCCGGUUCUUCCCCCUCGCCGGCCGCCUCGCUGUCAACGACCACGGGGACAGCGCCGGCCAAACCAUCUCGCUCUGCUACAGCGACGAAGGCGCCGAGUUCGUCCACGCCGUGGCGCCGGGUGUCACCGUCGCGGACGUCACCGCCCUGCUAUGCAUCCCGCGGGUGGUCUGGCCCUUCUUCCCGCUCAACGGGGUGAUUGGCGCGGACGCCGCCGCGGGCUCUCGCCCGAUCCUGGCCGCGCAGGUCACCGAGCUCGACGACGGCGUCUUUGUUGCCAUGUCGCUCAACCACGGGGGGGCCGACGGGACCACCUUCUGGCACCUGUUCAACACUUGGUCGGAGAUCAGCCGGCGUAGUGUCGACGGCGGCUACGACUGCGAGAUCUCCUCGCCGCUGCCGGUGUUCGACAGGUGGUUCCCGGACGGCUGCGCCGUCCCCAUCCCUGUACCCUUGGGCAAGCUGGACGACAUCGUGGGGCUGCGUCGACGUGCUUACGCUCAGCGCCCACCGGGGCAGGAAUGCUUCUUGCGUUUCUCCGGGGAGAGCGUCAAGGAGCUCGUGUCAAAGGCGAACGCCGAGAUGUCUGGCUCCGGCGCCACCAUCUCCUCGCUGCAGGCCGUGCUCGCGCACCUGUGGCGCGCGGUGUGCCGCGCCUGGAGGCUGGCGCCUGAGGAGGGGACGCGGUACGUCAUCCAGGUCGGAUGCCGG